rnacentral:rRNA from 1 species
GCUAGCUACAGGCUUAACACAUGCAAGUCGAGGGGCAGCAUGGUCUUAGCUUGCUAAGGCCGAUGGCGACCGGCGCACGGGUGAGUAACACGUAUCCAACCUGCCGUCUACUCUUGGACAGCCUUCUGAAAGGAAGAUUAAUACAAGAUGGCAUCAUGAGUCCGCAUGUUCACAUGAUUAAAGGUAUUCCGGUAGACGAUGGGGAUGCGUUCCAUUAGAUAGUAGGCGGGGUAACGGCCCACCUAGUCUUCGAUGGAUAGGGGUUCUGAGAGGAAGGUCCCCCACAUUGGAACUGAGACACGGUCCAAACUCCUACGGGAGGCAGCAGUGAGGAAUAUUGGUCAAUGGGCGAGAGCCUGAACCAGCCAAGUAGCGUGAAGGAUGACUGCCCUAUGGGUUGUAAACUUCUUUUAUAAAGGAAUAAAGUCGGGUAUGGAUACCCGUUUGCAUGUACUUUAUGAAUAAGGAUCGGCUAACUCCGUGCCAGCAGCCGCGGUAAUACGGAGGAUCCGAGCGUUAUCCGGAUUUAUUGGGUUUAAAGGGAGCGUAGAUGGAUGUUUAAGUCAGUUGUGAAAGUUUGCGGCUCAACCGUAAAAUUGCAGUUGAUACUGGAUAUCUUGAGUGCAGUUGAGGCAGGCGGAAUUCGUGGUGUAGCGGUGAAAUGCUUAGAUAUCACGAAGAACUCCGAUUGCGAAGGCAGCCUGCUAAGCUGCAACUGACAUUGAGGCUCGAAAGUGUGGGUAUCAAACAGGAUUAGAUACCCUGGUAGUCCACACGGUAAACGAUGAAUACUCGCUGUUUGCGAUAUACAGCAAGCGGCCAAGCGAAAGCGUUAAGUAUUCCACCUGGGGAGUACGCCGGCAACGGUGAAACUCAAAGGAAUUGACGGGGGCCCGCACAAGCGGAGGAACAUGUGGUUUAAUUCGAUGAUACGCGAGGAACCUUACCCGGGCUUAAAUUGCAGAUGAAUUACGGUGAAAGCCGUAAGCCGCAAGGCAUCUGUGAAGGUGCUGCAUGGUUGUCGUCAGCUCGUGCCGUGAGGUGUCGGCUUAAGUGCCAUAACGAGCGCAACCCUUGUUGUCAGUUACUAACAGGUUCUGCUGAGGACUCUGACAAGACUGCCAUCGUAAGAUGUGAGGAAGGUGGGGAUGACGUCAAAUCAGCACGGCCCUUACAUCCGGGGCUACACACGUGUUACAAUGGGGGGUACAGAGGGCCGCUACCACGCGAGUGGAUGCCAAUCCCCAAAACCUCUCUCAGUUCGGACUGGAGUCUGCAACCCGACUCCACGAAGCUGGAUUCGCUAGUAAUCGCGCAUCAGCCACGGCGCGGUGAAUACGUUCCCGGGCCUUGUACACACCGCCCGUCAAGCCAUGGGAGCCGGGGGUACCUGAAGUGCGUAACCGCGAGGAGCGCCCUAGGGUAAAACUGGUGACUGGGGCUA